GAUGAAGAACUUAGCGAAAUGCGAUAAGUAAUGUGAAUUGCAGAAUUCAGUGAAUCAUCGAAUCUUUGAACGCACCUUGCGCCCUUUGGCCAUUCCGAAGGGCAUGCCUGUUUGAGUAUCAUGAACACCUCAACUCUUCAUGGUUUUCCAUGAUGAGCUUGGACUUUGGGGGUCUUGCUGGCCUGUGGGUCGGCUCCUCUCAAAUGAAUCAGCUUGCCGGUUUUUGGUGGGCAUCACAGGUGUGAUAACUAUCUACGCUUGUGGUUUUCCACCAGGGUAACCUUCAGCAGUGGAGGUUCACUGGAGCUUACAAAUGUCUCUCCUCUGUGAGGACAGCCCUUUGAAUGUUUGAUCUCAAAUCAGGUAGGACUACCCGCUGAACUUAAGCAUAUCAAUAAGCGGAGGA
rnacentral:misc_RNA from 1 species